rnacentral:rRNA from 1 species
GACGAACGCUGGCGGCGUGCUUAACACAUGCAAGUCGAACGGUGAAGGGGUCUGCUUUUGUGGGCCCUGGAUGAGUGGCGAACGGGUGAGUAACACGUGAGUAACCUGCCCUCUUCUUCUGGAUAACCGCAUGAAAGUGUGGCUAAUACGGGAUAUUCUGGGUCUGUCGCAUGAUGGGUCUGGGAAAGAUUGCGCCUUUGGGUGUUUUUGGUGGGGGAUGGGCUCGCGGCCUAUCAGCUUGUUGGUGGGGUGAUGGCCUACCAAGGCGGUGACGGGUAGCCGGCCUGAGAGGGUGGACGGUCACACUGGGACUGAGACACGGCCCAGACUCCUACGGGAGGCAGCAGUGGGGAAUAUUGCACAAUGGGCGCAAGCCUGAUGCAGCGACGCCGCGUGAGAGAUGGAGGCCUUCGGGUUGUAAACCUCUUUCGCCAGUGAAGCAGGCCUGCUCCUUGUGGGUGGGUUGACGGUAGCUGGAUAAGAAGCGCCGGCUAACUACGUG